rnacentral:rRNA from 1 species
GAUGAACGCUGACAGAAUGCUUAACACAUGCAAGUCAACUUGAACUUCGGUUUGGGUGGCGGACGGGUGAGUAACGCGUACAGAACUUGCCUCACAGCUAGGGACAACAUUUGGAAACGAAUGCUAAUACCUGAUAUUAUGAUUAUAUGGCAUCGUAUAGUUAUGAAAGCUAUAUGCGCUGUGAGAGAGCUUUGCGUCCCAUUAGCUAGUUGGAGAGGUAACGUCUCACCAAGGCGAUGAUGGGUAGCCGGCCUGAGAGGGUGAUCGGCCACAAGGGGCCGGGGACACGACCCUUACUCCUUCGGGAGGCAGCAGUGGGGAACUUUGGCCAAUGGACCACGAGUCUGAUCCAGCACUUCUGUGUGCACGAUGAAGUUUUUCGGAAUGUAAAGUGGUUUCAGUUGGGAAGAAAAAAAUGACGGUACCAACAGAAGAAGUGACGGCUAAAUACGUG